AUGGGGAGGGCGCCGUGCUGCGACAGGAAGGGUCUCAAGAAGGGGCCGUGGACGCCGGAGGAGGACAAACAGCUCGUCGACUUCAUCCAGGCCAACGGCCAUGGCAGCUGGCGCCUGCUCCCCAAACUCGCAGAGCUGAACCGGUGCGGCAAGAGCUGCCGGCUACGGUGGACGAACUACCUGCGGCCGGACAUCAAGCGCGGGCCCUUCACCGCCGAGGAGCAGAAGUCCAUCGUCCAGCUCCACGGCAUCGUCGGGAACAAGUGGUCCAUGAUCGCGGCGCAGCUGCCCGGCCGGACGGACAACGAGAUCAAGAACUACUGGAACACGCACCUCAAGAAGCAGCUCCGCCGGAUGGGCCUCGACGAGCCCCCGCCCGGCCCGACCGCCGGCUGCCCCGCCGCGCGCCACAUGGCGCAGUGGGAGACCGCGCGCCUGGAGGCCGAGGCGCGCCUCUCGCUCCUCUCCUCCUCCGGCGCCGCGGCGACGGCCACCACCUCCGGCUCCGCGUCCUCUUCAUCGACCGCGGCCGCCGGCGCCGCAGUGGCCGAACGCGCGAAGCCCGCCGACGUCUUCCUGCGCCUGUGGAACUCCGAUAUCGGGAGCUCUUUCCGCAAAGCGGCCGCGCCAGUGUCCGUCAAGGAGGAGGAGGCUGUGGUGCCGGGGGACGACUCCUCGGCGGCGUCCAACGAGAUGGACGCGGCGGCGGCCGAGUACCAGAUGUUCCUCGACUUCGCCGGCGAGGAGCUGGGUCUGUUCCACGGCCGGCACGGCGGCUUCUCGCUGUUCCCGCCGCUCGACGUGCUCGCCGAGGCGUCCCUGGACACGGCGUUCUAG
rnacentral:rRNA from 1 species